GGUGUAGCCAAGUAGGUAAGGCACAGGACUUUGACUCCUGUAUGCGUAGGUUCGAGCCCUGCCAC
rnacentral:tRNA from 1 species